ensembl:lncRNA
GAUCGACUGAGGGGGUCUGGGUGCUGUGAUCGACUGAGGGGGUCUGGGUGCUGUGAUCGACUGAGGGGGGUCUGGGUGCUGUGAUCGACUGAGGGGGUCUGGUGGUGGUUCCUGUGUCUCCUGUUUUUUCGACAACAUCACCACUGCAGUUCAAUAGCGACUGUGUGUGUGUGUUGUGGCUAACUCCUGGACAGCCAGUGAGUGAGGAGCAGGACCAUGCAGCUUUAAGACAGAUGUUCUUAGCCAGGGAAGGUCAAGAUUUCUAUUCCUCAGGAACUUGGUUGCCUGCUGUUCUAUCUCCUGUCUGACACUUAAAC